CUUUGAUAAUGCUGGGAUGUGAUGGGGAGCGAAAUUUAGUAGCGAAGUAGCUGAUUUCACACUGUCAAGAAAAGUCUCUAUCGAGGUUAAAGGUACCCGUACCGCAAACCGACACAGGUGGGUGAGGAGAGGAUCCUAAGGCCAGCGAGAGAACUGUUGUGAAGGAACUCGGCAAAAUGACCCCGUAACUUAGGGAUAAGGGGUGCCACCAUCAGGUGGCCGCAGAGAAUAGGCCCAAGCGACUGUUUACCAAAAACAUAGGUUUCUGCUAAGUCGCAAGACGAUGUAUAGGAGCUGACGCCUGCCCGGUGCUGGAAGGUUAAGGGGAUCUGUUAGAGCAAUCGAAGCAGUGAACUUAAGCCCCAGUAAACGGCGGCCGUAACUAUAACGGUCCUAAGGUAGCGAAAUUCCUUGUCGGGUAAGUUCCGACCCG
rnacentral:rRNA from 1 species